GACGAACGCUGGCGGCGUGCCUAAUACAUGCAAGUCGAGCGGAUGAUGAAGAAGCUUGCUUCUUCUGAUUUAGCGGCGGACGGGUGAGUAACACGUGGGCAACCUGCCCUGUAGAUUGGGAUAACUCCGGGAAACCGGGGCUAAUACCGAAUAAUCCAUUCCUCACAUGGGGAAAUGUUAAAAGACGGUCUCGGCUGUCACUACAGGAUGGGCCCGCGGCGCGCUAGCUAGUUGGUGAGGUAACGGCUCACCAAGGCGACGAUGCGUAGCCGACCUGAGAGGGUGAUCGGCCACACUGGGACUGAGACACGGCCCAGACUCCUACGGGAGGCAGCAGUAGGGAAUCUUCCACAAUGGACGAAAGUCUGAUGGAGCAACGCCGCGUGAGUGAAGAAGGUUUUCGGAUCGUAAAACUCUGUUGUGAGGGAAGAACAAGUACGAGAGUAACUGCUCGUACCUUGACGGUACCUCAUUAGAAAGCCACGGCUAACUACGUGCCAGCAGCCGCCGUAAAGC
rnacentral:rRNA from 1 species